CCUACGGGAGGCAGCAGUGGGGAAUCUUGCGCAAUGGGCGAAAGCCUGACGCAGCCAUGCCGCGUGUAUGAUGAAGGUCUUAGGAUUGUAAAAUACUUUCACCGGUGAAGAUAAUGACUGUAGCCGGAGAAGAAGCCCCGGCUAACUUCGUGCCAGCAGCCGCGGUAAUACGAAGGGGGCUAGCGUUGCUCGGAAUUACUGGGCGUAAAGGGAGCGUAGGCGGACAUUUAAGUCAGGGGUGAAAUCCCAGAGCUCAACUCUGGAACUGCCUUUGAUACUGGGUGUCUUGAGUGUGAUAGAGGUAUGUGGAACUCCGAGUGUAGAGGUGAAAUUCGUAGAUAUUCGGAAGAACACCAGUGGCGAAGGCGACAUACUGGAUCAUUACUGACGCUGAGGCUCGAAAGCGUGGGGAGCAAACAGGAUUAGAUACCCUGGUAGUCCACGCCGUAAACGAUGAUUGCUAGUUGUCGGGAUGUUUACAUCUCGGUGACGCAGCUACGCAUAAGUACAUACCGCCGUCGGGUAGGUACGGUCGCGAGAAUUAAACUACAAUAGAGUAGACGGCGUGAGACGUGACCGACGGACGACGACGAGGGAGGAGG
rnacentral:rRNA from 1 species